ensembl:lncRNA
CUGAAGUAGAAAUACCCUCUUGUCUUGAAACUGCUGCAACAUAGUAAGUCAUGAGGAAAAUAUAGAAAAAGCUUGUUCUGAGCACUUUAACUUGAUUUGCCUCCUGGAGUUGGAUAAAUGGCUUCAUGCACACACCAGCAUGCCUCAGGAAGCAUCAGGAAGCCACAGCCAGUGUAAUCUGAAAGCUCUAGGUUACAUUUUGACCCAAACAGGAAAGUGAUCUCAGUUGUGUAGCAAUGAAUUCUCCUCAUUUGCUGAAACAACUUCUAUCACAACCACAGGAUACGAAAAACAGGUGGAUAAACCUCUGGAGAGCCUGUGGAGAUGCCAUGAGCACCCUGACUUCCAGAGUUUUUACGACAGCUGGCGGUGCCUAAGGAGGACACAGCACCCAGGCUGUGUAGGCAUUGAGGAAAAAGAGAGUUUGAAUAUUUCUGCCCCAAAGUCAACAAGAAGGGUGAAAGAAAGAUCCCUUCCUCUGCUUUGGAACUGUUUAUUCAGAACAGAACACUUUAAAGCUAUCCUUGUCCGUCAUCAGCCUUUUGGGAAAACAAUGGCUAAAUGUUGCCUUUGAGGAAUCAGUGCCUGGCUUAUCUCAUCUCUGCACCUCCUAGUACAGCCUCUUCUUCCAGGAGCAUAGCUCAGUUUUCUGGAACAAGGAGUCUCCCAGUGAAUGGCUCAGUGGCCACAGGUCCUGCCUGAGCCUGCAUGAACAUUCCUGCCAUUGGAACAAAAGUGACAGAAGUUGGAAACCAAGAACUCUCAGUUGAUGGUGGAGGGUGUGUGUCACUGUGGCUGCAUCCUAAACCACCGACUUGGAUAAAGCCAGGAGUCCCUGGUUAGCACGGCUGGAGUGGUGGAGCAGCAGAGAGCAGCCAGGUGGGAGAUGCCUCAGCAGGUUUUCCACACUGCCUUAGCCUUGAAGACCUCUUCUGUAACUGGCACCCACACCAGUCAGCAAUGCCUGAAAGGGAACUUUCUGAGGCAGAGCAUUUCUGGCAUAUUUUCUACUUGCCAUCUGUCUACAGGGAAACAUCCUCAGGGCAGGAGCCUUCUGUGUCACAGGUUAUAUUCUGUUAGUCCCUAUCAGAUAAUAAAGCUGUUAUUAAUUAAGACAGGCUGAGCAGGGACUGGUGCUGUAUAUAUACAGCGUGCACUGCACCCAGGUGAGUGGGAGGUAAGACUGGGAGUCUGAGACCUACUGAGUAUCUCAGGGGUCAAACACAGGAUUUAUCUAAGCUGAUACUGGGUAUUUACACUGUAAGUGGCAGUUCUGGGCUCCUUUAAAAUCCUGUGGAUAGAAAUAGAUAAUUGUAGACCUCAUGUUUCCACAGGAGGCAUGAUGGUUCAUUCCAUCCUAAAUUCCUUUAUAUAGAGUCUCAGCAUCAAGCCGAUGGUGCUGAAGUUGGACAGAUGAAGGUGGUGAGAUGAGUCUGACUCCAACGCACUUGACUUCUCACAGUCGUCCUUGUUGAUAUGGUGAUGGUGAGAACAUUUCUCAAUUGGGUACCCUGUGAGUGAAAAAUAGUACCCAGCUUAUUUUUGUUUAGAAUUACAUUCAAUGGCAGAACUGGCUUUCCCAACAUAU